ACGACGGACGACGGAAACGGAAUACAAAGGAUGGAUAGGCAAACUGGCAAACUUCAAUCUUGUGGUUUAGGUUAAGUUUAUGUCUUCUUGCUUUUAGAUAGCCAAAAAGUAUCAAAUGUAUGCACAUUUAGCACUGUUUAGCUUUUAACUCCAGUAAGUAGCAGGCCUUAAAUUGUUUGAAGUCUCAAGCAAUCUUAAAUCUUAGCCAACAUUAUGCUUUCACAGUUUAAAACCAUGCAAUUGUAAAUGUACCCAAUAAUAGUUGUACCCAAUAAUAGGUCUACCCAAUUAUACAGGCUGGCUGAGUUUGUACUGAAAUUUUACUAGGCCUAGAUUGAAAAGAAAGCUCAGGUGUUGGAAAUAUGGCUGUAGGUGUUCUGGUGAUGUGUAACAGAUUACUCUGCAGAUUCAAUUGGAUCCCUAAGAGCUUCCCUCGCAGCACACUUACUCACUCUAUGAGGCAAUUUCAUAGAUCUCCAAUUGUGAAUAGAUUCAAUUGGAUCCCUAAGAGCUUCCCUCGCAGCACACUUACUCACUCUAUGAGGCAAUUUCAUAGAUCUCCAAUUGUGAAUAGAUUCAAUUGGAUCCCUAAGAGCUUCCCUCGCAGCACACUUACUCACUCUAUGAGGCAAUUUCAUAGAUCUCCAAUUGUGAAUAGAUUCAAUUGGAUCCCUAAGAGCUUCCCUCGCAGCACACUUACUCACUCUAUGAGGCAAUUUCAUAGAUCUCCAAUUGUGAAUAGCAGACUUGAAGACUUUGGAAAACUGAUAGACCAAGGGAAGAAACGUAUAUCGAAGCUGAAAUCGAAAGAUAAUGUUCCACCUGACUAUCAUUUGAUUUACAAAGCAACAUGGGAGUUAACGUUCAGAAUUGGGUACCCAGUGCUUAUAUCCAUGGGUGCUGGCUUGUUGGGACUGGUUGUUUACAGACAUUACAAUAAAGACGAAUUAGAAAUGGGAAGGCCUGUAGGUAAGGGUAAUAUUAAAUUCAUGUAUCCCGAACAAGAACUUUGGGUCUUCUCCUUAGCGCUCGUAUCAUUAGUGGUUGCUGGCUCUUCACUGAUGUUAAAAUAUCCCUUCAGAAUUUACAAGCAUGCCUCAAAAAAGGAAUACAUAGGUGUUUAUUUAAAUCCUUUCCUCCCAAUUUUGAGACAAGUACAUUUCACAAGUGCUAACCCGACCAAGUUUAGAAACCCGUUCUAUGUGAUGGUGCAAGACAGUCAUUAUGUUCUAAGUGGUAACAGAAAAACAUUUUUCUUUAGUUACUUUUUUCGUGUUCCAAAAGACUUAACAGACAUGUUUCAUGAAUCCAAACCCACUAAUAAGGAUUAGUGCUUUGUUGUACCUUUCACUGAUUAAUUGUAAAUAAAUAUCAUUUUAGUGUG